UACAUGGGGUGCAAACGUUGCUCGGAAUUAUUGGGCGUAAAGCGCACGUAGGCGGUUUGUUAAGUCGGAUGUGAAAUCCCUCGGCUCAACUGAGGAAGUGCAUCCGAAACUGGCAAGCUUGAGUACGAAAGAGGGUCGCGGAAUUCCCGGUGUAGAGGUGAAAUUCGUAGAUAUCGGGAGGAACACCGGUGGCGAAGGCGGCGACCUGGGUCGAUACUGACGCUGAGACGCGAAAGCGUGGGGAGCAAACAGG
rnacentral:rRNA from 1 species